rnacentral:rRNA from 1 species
UCGGGAAUAUUGCACAAUGGGGGAAACCCUGAUGCAGUGAUGCCGCGUAUAGGAAGAAGGUUUUCGGAUUGUAAACUAUUGUCGACAGGGAAGAAGAAAAGACGGUACCUGUGGAGGAAGCCCCGGCUAACUACGUGCCAGCAGCCGCGGUAAUACGUAGGGGGCGAGCGUUGUCCGGAAUUAUUGGGUGUAAAGGGUGCGUAGACGGGUUAUUAAGUUAGUUGUGAAAUCCCCAGGCUCAACCUGGGAACUGCAACUAAAACUGAUAAUCUUGAGUAUGGGAGAGGAAAGUGGAAUUCCUAGUGUAGCGGUGAAAUGCGUAGAGAUUAGGAGGAACACCAGUGGCGAAGGCGACUUUCUGGACCAAAACUGACGUUGAGGCACGAAAGUGUGGGGAGCAAACA